rnacentral:ncRNA from 1 species
CGUCUGGAGAGAGGCUGCACCGCAGCCCACCGAAGGGGCAAGCAGGGUAUGACCCUGUAAACUCUCAGGUAGCAAGGACAGGGGGAG